CAAACAUACAUACAUACAUACAUGCAUGCAUGCAUGCAUUCGGGAACCUCUCUAUAUCAGGAUGUCAUAAUUUUCACCUAUGAUGUUAUAAUUUUUCUUGGAGGUUAUAAUUCUGCAUUCGUAAGCAUUUUUUGUGCCAGUAUAUCAUAAUUUUGUCAUAUUAUGUCAAAGUUUUGAUCCAGCAUAUCAUACUUCUGCGUUCGAAGAACACUCUAUGUC
rnacentral:lncRNA from 1 species